UCACUGUCCGUUUCAGCACCCCGUGAAUUCUUAUCUUUCAUCAGAUAGUCGCAAAUGGCAUUGAUGUUUUCUUUCUUCACGCCAGGUUGGCCAACGCGCAAGGUAAUGAGCUAGCCUCUCCUCCUCCAUUCUGGUGACAUCGACAGUUGGUGUGUGCUUCUCUAAUGCCAGCUCCUGCUUCUUCCAGUUUCUCGUCCUCCUGGUUUUUGAC